GAGUUUGAUCCUGGCUCAGAAUGAACGCUGGCGGCAUGCCUAACACAUGCAAGUCGAACGAGACCUUCGGGUCUAGUGGCGCACGGGUGCGUAACGCGUGGGAAUCUGCCCUUGGGUUCGGAAUAACAGCGAGAAAUUGCUGCUAAUACCGGAUGAUGUCUUCGGACCAAAGAUUUAUCGCCCAGGGAUGAGCCCGCGUAGGAUUAGCUAGUUGGUGUGGUAAAGGCGCACCAAGGCGACGAUCCUUAGCUGGUCUGAGAGGAUGAUCAGCCACACUGGGACUGAGACACGGCCCAGACUCCUACGGGAGGCAGCAGUGGGGAAUAUUGGACAAUGGGCGCAAGCCUGAUCCAGCAAUGCCGCGUGAGUGAUGAAGGCCUUAGGGUUGUAAAGCUCUUUUACCCGGGAUGAUAAUGACAGUACCGGAGAAUAAGCUCCGGCUAACUCCGUGCCAGCAGCCGCGGUAAU
rnacentral:rRNA from 1 species